CAGGAGUGAUCCGAACUGCUAUUGUCAACCUGGACCAUGAGAAGAAGGAUCAUUAUGUUUUGGUAACCCAAGCGAAAGACAUGGCAGGGCAGAGUUGUACCAGCUAAGCAUGCUGGAAACGGCAGCCAUCGGAACAACAGUGGGCAGGGUGAAGGCUGAGGAGACUGACCUGGGACAAAACUCAGAGAUGACCUACACGGUCAAAGUGCAAGAGAGCUCUGAUAGGUUCAGUGUCAUCACAGACCCAGACGCACAGGGAGGGAUAAUCAUUCUCAAGAAGCGUACAAACCUGACAAUCGUCCUCCCACAGGCAACCAUGAAACAAAGAAAACACCAUGGAACCUGUUCAAAGAAAGUAUCAAACACCCAAGCACAAGAAAGAACAAUCAUCCAAAUGGCAAAAAG